rnacentral:lncRNA from 1 species
UCUGAGGGCCUUAGCUCUGGCCAGGGGCGCUGCAACGGGCUCAGCCUUCUAGGGGUGGCGGGUGAAGGCCUACACCUGCCCCAGGACGGCCAGGUCCACCAGCACCUGCAACAGACGGAGAACUGAAGGAGCAUCUUGAAGCUGUGGCUGUCUUGAAGGUGUCGCCGCUUGUCCUCACGAGCACCAUUUUGAUUCUCGUGCCCUGUGUGCAUGGGUGGCCAGCGUUGCUGGUAGGGCUCCUGCACGCUCAGAGUGGCCUUGGCCAGGAAGUCCAGGGUUUCCGCAGGCAGAGUGUAUGAACAAGGUACUGAGAAGAUCACAUACUGCAUGUCCUCCUAAAACCUGGUCCUGGCAUAACCUUCUAAGCUGUUUUAUUCAGGUGUUUAUGGAUUUUGUAUUUGCCCAUGUUUAAUGAGCUUUACAACACUUCCAUCAGAGAAC